AGCUUUGCGCAGUGGCGAUAUCGUAGCCCAUGAGGUUUAUCCAAGGCGCUAUUAUUGCUAGUUGAAAACUUUACCCAAAAAAAGGUGCUGGUGCAUCCCCUGGAGCUAGUUAAUGGCGGCCGUUUGCAUACAUACGC